UAUAAUCUAUUUAAAAAGAAAAUACGAAAAUGUACGGAUAAAAAACCCUAUAACAUAAAAAAAAAUUAUAGGUUCUAUUAAAGGAACUUGAUAAACAAUGUUAUUAUAUUACGUAAAUAGGUAUUACGAAUUUAGAAAACUUAUCGGAAAAAAAUAUCUAACUCUGCUACAUUAUGAUUUAAUCAACGACGUCAAAUUUUAUGGUAAUCCAGCAAAUUCUAAUCUUUAUUUUAUUGCAUCGCCAGGCAUGCAAAAAACAUGUCGGCAGUUCGAUAUUUUAAGCCAAGGUAGAGGGAUUUGCGCACACUCAUCCGUCUAUAUCUAUCCCACUCUAGAUUGCAGAAUGUUGGUGUGGCAGGACGGGUGACCGAGUUGGCAGAAAUCGAGGAUUGGAACGUUAUUUAGGUAGAAUUUUAUAUUUCCAAAUAUAUUUUAGUAAUAAAUGAUAUUUUCAUUAA